rnacentral:rRNA from 1 species
AACGAACGCUGGCGGCAGGCUUAACACAUGCAAGUCGAGCGAAGACUUCGGUCUAGCGGCGGACGGGUGAGUAACGCGUGGGAACGUGCCCUUCUCUACGGAACAGUCCUGGGAAACUGGGUUUAAUACCGUAUACGCCCUUUUGGGGAAAGAUUUAUCGGAGAAGGAUCGGCCCGCGUUGGAUUAGGUAGUUGGUGGGGUAAUGGCCUACCAAGCCUACGAUCCAUAGCUGGUUUGAGAGGAUGAUCAGCCACACUGGGACUGAGACACGGCCCAGACUCCUACGGGAGGCAGCAGUGGGGAAUCUUAGACAAUGGGGGCAACCCUGAUCUAGCCAUGCCGCGUGAGUGAUGAAGGCCUUAGGGUUGUAAAGCUCUUUCAGCUGGGAAGAUAAUGACGGUACCAGCAGAAGAAGCCCCGGCUAACUCCGUGCCAGCCGCCGCCGUAACAC